rnacentral:rRNA from 1 species
AUGGUCUUAGCUUGCUAAGGCUGAUGGCGACCGGCGCACGGGUGAGUAACACGUAUCCAACCUGCCGUCUACUCUUGGCCAGCCUUCUGAAAGGAAGAUUAAUCCAGGAUGGGAUCAUGAGUUCACAUGUCCGCAUGAUUAAAGGUAUUUUCCGGUAGACGAUGGGGAUGCGUUCCAUUAGAUAGUAGGCGGGGUAACGGCCCACCUAGUCAACGAUGGAUAGGGGUUCUGAGAGGAAGGUCCCCCACAUUGGAACUGAGACACGGUCCAAACUCCUACGGGAGGCAGCAGUGGGGAAUAUUGGUCAAUGGGCGAUGGCCUGAACCAGCCAAGUAGCGUGAAGGAUGACUGCCCUAUGGGUUGUAAACUUCUUUUAUAAAGGAAUAAAGUCGGGUAUGCAUACCCGUUUGCAUGUACUUUAUGAAUAAGGAUCGGCUAACUCCGUGCCAGCAGCCGCGGUAAUACGGAGGAUCCGAGCGUUAUCCGGAUUUAUUGGGUUUAAAGGGAGCGUAGAUGGAUGUUUAAGUCAGUUGUGAAAGUUUGCGGCUCAACCGUAAAAUUGCAGUUGAUACUGGAUGUCUUGAGUGCAGUUGAGGCAGGCGGAAUUCGUGGUGUAGCGGU